rnacentral:rRNA from 1 species
UGGGGAAUAUUGCACAAUGGGCGCAAGCCUGAUGCAGCCAUGCCGCGUGUGUGAAGAAGGCCUUCGGGUUGUAAAGCACUUUCAGCGAGGAGGAAGGUGGUGAACUUAAUACGUUCAUCAAUUGACGUUACUCGCAGAAGAAGCACCGGCUAACUCCGUGCCAGCAGCCGCGGUAAUAUGGAGGGUGCAAGCGUUAAUCGGAAUUACUGGGCGUAAAGCGCACGCAGGCGGUUUGUUAAGUCAGAUGUGAAAUCCCCGGGCUCAACCUGGGAACUGCAUUUGAAACUGGCAAGCUAGAGUCUCGUAGAGGGGGGCUAGAAUUCCAGGUGUAGCGGUGAAAUGCGUAGAGAUCUGGAGGAAUACCGGUGGCGAAGGCGGCCCCCUGGACGAAGACUGACGCUCAGGUGCGAAAGCGUGGGGAGCAAACAGAUUAGAUACCCUGGUAGUCACGCUGUAAACGAUGUCGAUUUUGGAGGUUGUGCCCUUGAGGCGUGGCUUCCGGAGCUAACGCGUUAAAUCGACCGCC